rnacentral:rRNA from 1 species
CUACGGGAUGCAGCAGUGGGGAAUAUUGCACAAUGGGCGCAAGCCUGAUGCAGCCAUGCCGCGUGUAUGAAGAAGGCCUUCGGGUUGUAAAGUACUUUCAGCGGGGAGGAAGGGAGUAAAGUUAAUACCUUUGCUCAUUGACGUUACCCGCAGAAGAAGCACCGGCUAACUCCGUGCCAGCAGCCGCGGUAAUACGGAGGGUGCAAGCGUUAAUCGGAAUUACUGGGCGUAAAGCGCACACAGGCGGUUUGUUAAGUCAGAUGUGAAAUCCCCGGGCUCAACCUGGGAACUGCAUCUGAUACUGGCAAGCUUGAGCCUCGUAGAGGGGGGUAGAAUUCCAGGUGUAGCGGUGAAAUGCGUAGAGAUCUGGAGGAAUACCGGUGGCGAAGGCGGCCCCCUGGACGAAGACUGACGCUCAGGUGCGAAAGCGUGGGGAGCAAACAGGAUUAGAUACCCCAGUAGUC